GUGUGUAAUGCAGUUUCCAAAUUACAAUUUUCCAUUAGUCCCUGCAAGUCCAUUGUAAAUGUUCAUAACAUAAGGCCAUCAUGCAAAAUUUCAUUAUACUAUAGGUUAAUUGCAAAGGCCAAGGCUAAAUUAACUGAGCAGUAAGGACUAAUUAAAUAUAUGAAAGCUUUAUUUGGGGUCCUGCAAUAUCGAAUCUUUGGCCACCAUUUCUUUUUUAAAAAGAAAUCUCGUCACUCAAAUGAUUGCACUUUUCCUAAUCGGUAAUAAAUCCCUGUCCUCUUCAUGUUGCUAUAGCAAUAUGCAGUGGAAGCGGGAAGAUGAUAAUUUUCCUGAAGCAAGCUCUGUUACACAAAGGUCCUGGUAGAGUCAGUGUAAUUGAUGGGAUGGCAUCAGUUGGCGCUGUGGUACAAGUUUGCUUUUGUUCGUAUCCCAUUGGUUUUAUGUUUCUGAUUGCCACUGUCUGCUAAUUCAUGAGCUGACCUCUGUCAUAGAAGAAGACAAAAACAGACUGAGAUCCAUAGGACCAUCUGCUUAGAUCAUCAAGAUGCAACAUACUUCUGGUAUAAUCUUGUGGAUUGAGCAGAGAAUAUGAAAGUUUUCAUCAUUUUGUACCUCUGUUCUCAUUUUAAGUCUACAAGUAUGUUGAUUGAAAAUUCACCGUUUACAAUUUACAAGGCAAUUUCACUAACUGUCAAUCCUGUUGAUUAGUGCUGACAUUUUUCCAAUGCCUUCAGUGGAUGCAUGACAGCCAAGAAUGCAAUAGGUGCAUCUUUUCUUCAGUAUGGAGAUACAAGGAUUUUAAUGGUUUAUUAUAUAGCUUUUAGACAUCACAUCUGUCUAAGGGAACUAAGAUUGCUCUGUAAGUUAGUUUCUAGAGUAAAUAUGAUCAUAUUGGUGACAGCAAAGGACAUUGGCUCCUGAUCAGGGAUUCACUGGAUUUCAAGUGUCCAUACUUUUUGUCGCACCUCAGGUUAGCUUCACCUUGCUGGUUACACCAAACUGCACACAGGCUGAAGUCUUUUUAGUUUAUUAGAAGAUAGAAAAUUCUUUAAAAGCAAAAGUAAAGCAAAAGUAAAGUUCCAAAAGAUCAUUACAAAAUAAAGCCUUAGAGAAUAAUACAGGAAAUCACAGGGAAUAAACAAGGUCCCAUUAGAGCAUGACAAAGUCCCAAGAACAUGAACACAAAAGCUGCAAGAUAAUCCAGGAAAGCGAGAGCUUGCUUCUUGGUUGAACAAAAGUUGCUUUGACAAAGGUUUGUCUCCAAACACAUUGCUUUAAUACCCUUUGCAAAGCGUGAAAGCAUUUCUUUGGCCUCUGACCUCCUUCAUGUUUGCUAUUCUCACACUCCUUCGAACCCUGAAUUCCAAACGGCCAGCUCAAUCUAAAGAUUCCAUUUCAUCAAGGUCAGACUGUUCAUUAGUGUCAGCUUGCUUGCUAUCAGACUGAGAACUGUCCUCCUUUUCUGAGUCAAUUUGCACCUGGCUAAUUUCAGUAUCAGCAACAUCAUUCCUUACUGUGGGAAAAUGAAUUUGCACUCUUUGUUCCUCAUCUUCUGCAACAGGGUCAUUUUGAACGUGAUUUUGAACCUGAAUCCCAUAAUCCCCAUCAGAGUCCAUCUGAGGUUCCAGCUGAGUCACAACACUUUUCACAUCAAGGGUUGUUGGCCCAAUUUUGUAUAUCUUUCAUACAGGAGUGUAUAUAAUACAAUAAUGGUAUCUGGAUGCAUUUAUCACUCAGCUGGUUGAAUUUCUUGGGAAUGAUGUAUUUAUCAAAACUCAUCAGUGCAUGUACUAAUUUCAUGGGCCCACUAGCUGCCUAGGUCGGUAAACAGGACUUCCAGACUAACUCAAGUUAGCCUAGAGUCUGUGGUUCAGAUUUCCAAGUCCUUCUAUCUUUGGAAGAAGAUUGGAACAACCUUCCAAAAUGGACCCAGGUUAUUGUUUCCAGUGCCCAAAGAAGAGCUAGUAAUGAGGCAAGGAAAAUAUAAUGAUAUAAUCCAAUGUGCUCCUAUGAAGAAUGCAAAAAUAAAUAAAUGAUACAAAUAUGUUACUGUAUUAAGCUAAAUCACCCUAUUAAGUGAUUUUUAUUCCCAGCCUAGUCAAGUAGAGGCUAAUAUUGCUUAACCUAUCAUGAUUUACAGCAAAUAUGGUAUUGCAAUUGGUGACACACAUGGACUGGGGUCAAACCUGAGAUGUCUAUAUGAGCUUCAGAAAUAGACCAGGUAUGGAGCAUUCCUCACUGGUAACUUUCCAAUACUGUUGAAUCCCUUUUGGUCACCAUCUCUGGCAUGCUUUAUAGCUGAGGCAUUUUGAACCACAAGCUGAACUGGAAAUUAAAGGUAAUUUGUCUUUUCCUGCCUGUGUAUUGCUUGGGGUUGCAUCUACAGAGCAUUUACCAUAUGUAUGCUCAGAUUUUGCAGCAUAAACUUUUUAAAGCAUGACUUUAAUUGUUAACAGACUUUUACACAUAUGCAGUAGGACCUCUAGCGUUGUGAGACUUAGGAUCACAAGACUCCCAGAAAAGUGGAAAUGCUGUGAAUUUAAAAAAUAAUUACCCGAGAGAAUACUUCUCUAGGAAUUUCUAUGUCCCCCAGCAAAACUUGAUGGUGAAAUAUGACCACAAAACCACAUUAGAGAAAUUAGAGAGUCAUAGAGAGGAUGUAUUAAUCAAAUUCACAAAUAAAUCUGCAAAAGUUAAACCUACAAAUGUGGAGAGUCGACUGUAAGAAUAUUUCUAGUUAAGAUAUCUCACUGCUUGUUGAGAUUUUUAAAAACUUCAGAAAUAUCAAUGUCAAUGAUGUAAACAGCCUAGACUGUUGUAAAAACCUAAUAUACUAGCAAAGGUGUCAUGAUUAACACCGUCUGUCCACCCAAACAUAAAGUCUGGGAUUUUUAAAAGAAGCAAGCAAGGUAUGUUAUCAGCCAACAUAAAAAUCAAAAGCAAUAUUCUUAAUGCUUUAGAUUUUUUUCUAAGGGAAAACAAUCCGUAAGCACAAUAUUUUCAGGUUCAUUAAUUUAAUCCAUUUUAAAAUUACGUUGAUGUUUCCAUGCCAACAAAUGGUUUCCAAAUGCUUGAUAUCUUGACAAAAGCAGAGUUACCGAAAUUAAUUACCUGAAAGAUUUUUUCACUUUCAUAUUUUACUAAUUAAGGUGCAAAGUGCCAUGCUUAUACAUAAGGUUGGAAGCAUCAGACAGGAUUGCAGUAUAUAUGUUACAGAAGAAAAAUCUGUAAUGUAUGUAGUUCAAAUAUCAAUCAACUAAAAGAAAACAAACUCUUCAGUUCAACUUGAAUUCACUCAAGCUCCAAAAACGGGCAAAUUGCAAGUUUCAAGGGACUGUGUUAAUAUCCAGAGUUCCAGCUUCACCAAAAUCUUGUCAGUGUAAGUGUAAUAAACAUAAGUCCAAAAUGGCUUUGUUACUUGGAACAUAUACAAGGAUUCUAUGCCACUCAAACUACCAUAUACUUGAUGUUACCAUUCCAACCAAUAUCAUCGACAUGACUCUACAAAUCAACAAACAAGCAAACAUAUAAGAGGAGAUAUCAAUUUACAUGAAAUUUCCAUAUUCUAUUGUAGAUGUAUAGAAAUAUAGGUCCGAGUUGGGAGACUCUGGGUGCCUCUGCACUAAAGAAUAAAUGCAGCACCAUGUCAACUGCCAUCUGUGGAUAAAAAUGUAAAGGCCCCUGCUAUCUUGUGCUUCUCUACUUUUAAGCCAGUUUUGUAAGUCACCAUCUGUAAACUCGGAUGCAUGUUGAAAUUUAAUGCCAAGCAGCACAUUACAAGUGCACAUACUUUACCUUAAGUUUUUAUUAUUGUAAUGUGCUGUGGUGACUGCAUUUGAAAAAUGAUCAGAACCUCUAGAUGGUGCAAAUGCAUCAUCUAUUUUUUAUUUUUUUAAGGAUUUUAUUUUAAUUGCCUCUCAGCCAACCAGGGCUUAUGGGGCAAUGUACAGCAAAUUAUGAUAGGUACAAUUAUUGGAUAUGCUCUUUAAAAACAGGGUCAAACUACUUUUCAAAGCACACACAACUUAAAAAAGCCAAACUGGUUUUAAAGACUUAAAAUUGUAUGAAACAGCAAAACCCAAUAGGGAUGGAGCCAGUCAGAUUGUUCUUGGGAGGGAUCUAAAAAUCCCAAAUCAUGGAAUUUUUUAAACUAUAUUCUUGUUUCAAAAUUUUCUGUUCAUUGUUGAAUUUAGCACCUCAAAACCAGCAGGGUAUCGAUCCUAAUGUCUUCACACCCUGAACAUCUAUUGAAAUCUGCUAAAAAUGUGAUCUUUUAACUUGACUGAAAUCUUGUUCAUAUCCACAAAAUCAGCCUUACCAUUAUGGAUACUAAGGCCUCAAACAGCAAAUUUUGGGUGUCACGAAAGGGAAACAAAAUGUUAGUAUUUUAAUUCAUUUUUUGUAUUUUUACCGCCAGGGAUGCGGAACGUUAUGUGUGACAUUUCUGCCUUAUGUUCUAGGACAACUCAGAUGGCUUAAGACAUGAUGCUCUUUGAUUUGUAUGAGUGGGGCCCAGUGGCCUGCCUUUCCUCAGGCAGAAAAUGUUUUGAGUCAGCUUUAUUCAGAAUUAAAAGAUGCCUUCAACUACA